rnacentral:rRNA from 1 species
GAUGAACGCUGGCGGCGUGCCUAAUACAUGCAAGUCGAGCGAACAGACGAGAGUGCUUGCACUCUCUGACGUUAGCGGCGGACGGGUGAGUAACACGUGGGUAACCUACCUAUAAGACUGGGAUUACUUCGGGAAACCGGAGCUAAUACCGGAUAAUAUUUAGCUUCGCAUGAAGCAAUAGUGAAAGACGGUUCUGCUGUCACUUAUAGAUGGACCCGCGUUGUAUUAGCUAGUUGGUGAGGUAACGGCUCACCAAGGCAACGAUACAUAGCCGACCUGAGAGGGUGAUCGGCCACACUGGGACUGAGACACGGCCCAGACUCCUACGGGAGGCAGCAGUAGGGAAUCUUCCGCAAUGGACGAAAGUCUGACGGAGCAAUGCCGCGUGAGUGAAGAAGGUUUUCGGAUCGUAAAACUCUGUUGUAAGGGAAGAACAAGUACGUUAGUAACUGAACGUACCUUGACGGUACCUUAACAGAAAGCCACGGCUAACUACGUG